UUCUUUCGUAACAGUUUCUAAAUCUUAGCUUCUCUUCCCUCAUAAACAAAAAACCUAGAUCUGAAACCAAUUUUGAUUCCUUGUUCUUCUUAUACCGCAAAACAGUUUUGUGAACUCAAUAACAAGAAAGCCAACCUUAAUUGAAAUAAAAUUAGGUUUAAGUUUUUCAUUUUGAUUUUGACGUAAAUCAAAAAAUGGUGAAGAAGCAAGAGAAAAAGAAAGAUGAAAAGAUGAAGAAAAAUCUUAAGAAAACGGUCAAACAAUCUCCAAAAGGUAAAUCGAAACCUAAUUUUGUUUUACUAUUCUUCGUUGUUUCAUUGUUCUUCUGUGAUGGUUGAAAAUCAACAUGCAUGUUUAACCUGUGAUUUUUGGUUUCACAAAUUUUAGUUUCGUCACCGAUUUUGCAUAAAAUAGCUUUCAUCAGUGGUUUCAUAAUUAGGUUUCUGUUAGUGUCAUAAUUAGGUUUCAUUCCCUUCAAUAUUGUUACUUUCGUAAUUGAUUUUCUGUUAGUUUCAUAAUCGAUUUUCAUCAAUGGUUUCUUUGGUGAAACCAAAAUUAGUUUUCAUCAUUUUCAUAUAUGAUUCACUUUACUGUGUUGGUGAUUUUCAUCAAUGGUUUCUUCGAUGAAACCAAAAUUGGUAUCAUCAUUUUCAUCUAUGAUUCGCUUUACUGUGUUGGUGAUUUUCAUCAUUGGUUUCUUCGAUGAAACCAAAAUUUACAUCAAUGGUUUUUUUUUGUGGAACCCAAAAUUGGUUUCAUCAUUUUCAUAUGUGAUCGCUUAACUUUGUUGGUGAUUUUGUUCAAUGGUUUUGUAGAUGCAACCAAAAUUAGUUUUAUCAUUUUUGUUUUAUUAUUCGCUUAUGGUUAACUUUUGGUUUCACAACAAGGAAAAAAAGAGAAACAGAGCCGUAUAGGUGUUGUUGCAUUAUUUGUGUGCGCUAGCACCUGAGAUAAAAGCUUUGAUACACAACAAAAAACUGAAUAUGAAGGCUCUGGUUUCAUGUCCAUUUUGGUGUUUCUUCAAGUCGCUCUAUGAUGGUAUAUCCAAUUAAGAGUCGUAUGCUGGAAGCUGCUGCAAAUGAAACCAAGGCUGAUGACUUCGUCAAGUUAUUCUUUUUCUACCUUUUGGUUUGUGUAUUCGUCCCCAACAAAGGUGGGUAAACUCUAGCUGCAAAGUACUUGUACUUGGUAUUUGAGAUGAAUAAGGUGUGUUGGACGGACGUGUUUCAUGAGUAUCUAAUUGAGUGGAUAAUAACAUCCAAAGACGUUGAAAAUGUAGUGGGUUGUAUCAUUUAGCUGCUGUAUUAGUUGGCAGAGAUGUCUUACAUCGCAGAACAAAAGGAUGGGACAUGUAUCCAAGGUUUACUAGAUGGAACCUUGGUGGAAUAUGCUACCAAAUAUUGGAUAAAUUCGAGGAGCUUAGAGAACACCCAGGAAUUUAAUUAAAGAUGAAUAUCGGUCGCUGCAAGGGUUCAUUCAUGCUGACAAACAAGAAAUGCGCUUGGUCGAGCGCAUAGAAUAAAAAGAUAUUGUUGUUGAAGAAGUGUCGGUUGGUGAUGUUGAAAAUGUUGGUCGUGGCAGUGAAGUGCCUGGACAAAAAUGAAGUCAAUGUUGGUGCUGGCAGUGAAGUGCGUGGACAAAAUGAAGACAAUGUUGGUGCUAUCGGUGAAGUGAACUCUUAUAAAGACAAAUAUCAAUGGGCACAAAAUCUGAUUGAAAAGCUUAGGACCACUGGUAAAAAAUGUGCUUUCUGAAGAAGAAGAAUCUUCGCUGGAAAUAAUACUCGCAUGUGGUGCCCAAUUUAUUAAUUUUUUACAGUUUUUCUUGCAGAUUCAGUUUUACUUGAAGAUAAUCUUUGACAUCAUAAAAGAUAAUGUUUGCUAAGAAGAAUCAUUGCUGGCAAUAAUACUCGUAGUAGCUACUGUGUGUAAAAUGGUUAUCUACUGAUUGUAAUGGUGACAAAUUACAGUUUAUAUAAAAAGAUAUCAGUUGUAGUCCCCUAAAA